UACGUAGGGUGCAAGCGUUGUCCGGAAUUAUUGGGCGUAAAGAGCUCGUAGGCGGUUUGUUGCGUCGGCUGUGAAAUCCCGAGGCUCAACCUCGGGUCUGCAGUCGAUACGAGCAAACUAGAGUGUUGCAGGGGAGACUGGAACUCCUGGUGUAGCGGUGAAAUGCGCAGAUAUCAGGAGGAACACCAAUGGCGAAGGCAGCUCGCUGGGACGGUACUGACGCUGAGGCGCGAAAGCGUGGGGGAGCAAACAGG
rnacentral:rRNA from 1 species